GUGUGUGUGUGUGUGUGCAGGGGUCGGAGUGUGUGUGCGUGUUGGGGGGGGGGGUGUCCGUGUUUGUGAUCUGAACCUUUGGUACCUACAAGGAGGGUGUCUCACCGAACGGUAGCUAAAACCUCACCAGGACCGCACGGAACUGUGGAGACACAGCCGAAGGCGCCGCUGGAGCUUCAUAUCUGGGCCAGACCCCAGACCCAGCGUUGCAAGGAUCCCCCCGCCCGGAUCACAGUUUUCAGCAUGAGCUCGCAUCAGGGUCCUGUCUCCACUGUGGUUAUCCGUCUAAACUCCCUUCUCUUCAGGCAUCGCAUCUAAACUGCAACCUGGGCCCGGAAGUGAGGAAUAUAACUUCGGUCUGCACUAGUGCUAAAACCACGGACAGCAGUGAUGUCAAGUCUUGAGGUUACGGUGUGCAUCACAAGUUUUUCACUGAUGGGGAUUGAUGGAUUGGUGGAAGCGCUGGUGACACAAGAAUCGGUUUCUAAGAAGAUGUGGUUUCGUAAUGGAGAGCUACAUAAUAUGACCAAAUUUGGGGCACACAGCAGCGUUCCACAGUUAUCGCUCUUCAUUUCCUGGAUGUAAUACAUCAGAGGAAAAUUCUGCAGUCCAUCCUCAUCGAGGGUUGAUGUGAUACAAUGCAAGUCUUGCUUUGGUUAUAAAUGAAGAUUAAUAAAAGAUAACACUGGGAUGCUGUGUUCAGAUAUGUUAUAUCUGAAACUCCAGUUUCUUAAACUGUGGGUGGCAGCCUUAUUUGGGGUUUCAUAACUCAAAGCACAAGUCACAAAAAUGUUCUCAAAAGUAAAUGUUUCUAAAUGCACAAUGACAAGAAAAUGAAUGCAAAAUACGACGUAAAAAAAAAUCCUAGCUUUCUGGAAGUGCUCACCCACAUUGCAUUUUGUAAAUUUAUUGUGCCUUUAACUCUCAACAAAUAAUGUGCACUUACACUGCGCCUGUUGUCACACUGCCUACUCCUAUGAGCACUGAACACCGUAGCUCGGAUUGCUGAGUUAUUGCACUGUUUCAUUGUACAUACGAUGUUUUCUGCUUUCCCAGAAAUAUGGUGGUUUAAUUAUGGAAAACAAAGAUCAUUAUUAUUUUUCUGCCAUCAUUUCUUAGCCUGUAUCAAAUUAAUAUACCUUGCAUUAUCUGUGUUGGAAUGUUUGAUUUGAGACUGCUCUUUGAGUUACUGACUUGAGUUUCAUAAAAAAAAAAAUUGUU